rnacentral:SRP_RNA from 2 species
GGCUGGACCCUGUGCGGUAGAAACUUAUCAACCCCGCCAGGUUCGGAAGAAAGCAACGGUCCGUAAGCCCUUCUAGGCGCCGCAGGAUCAUCUGGCCUCU